GAUGAUUGAAAGAUGGUUUCGGCUAUCACUUACAGAUGGGGCCGCGGUGCAUUAGCUAGUUGGUGAGGUAACGGCUCACCAAGGCAACGAUGCAUAGCCGACCUGAGAGGGUGAUCGGCCACACUGGGACUGAGACACGGCCCAGACUCCUACGGGAGGCAGCAGUAGGGAAUCUUCCGCAAUGGACGAAAGUCUGACGGAGCACCGCCGCGUGAGUGAUGAAGGCUUUCGGGUCGUAAAACUCUGUUGUUAGGGAAGAACAAGUACGAGAGUAACUGCUUGUACCUUGACGGACCAACCAGAAAGCC
rnacentral:rRNA from 1 species